AAGGGGGUUACCCUGGCUCUUUUCUCCUCUGAACCCCUCCGGAUUACAGUCCCAUCAUGCUCUUGAGACUUGGUGGAUACAAUAUCAAGACCGAAAGCCUGGCACCCACGCGGCCUCACACAAACGAAAAUACCGCCUUUGGGACUUUGUACGUUCAUCUGAUAAAAUGGGAUGUCAGAUUCUGCUCACAGGGACCUAUGCAUGCCAUAUGAAGAAGAGACUCACAGAACAGCACCUGACCCGGGUACAGGCUGGGCCCUCGCUUCCCUCCCUUCGUGACUCAGAGCUGACAUCUAAUCUGAGCAUUGCACCAUCUUUCUCAGCAAAGCCAGAAGCAGCUGAGAAGGUGCUAGUGCUGCCCCAGGGACUAUCUCCCAGGGACAAACGCAAAACAAAUCACUCAGCGACAGGAGGGCCCCUCUUCCUGGCGACGCACGGUGUCUGUUCAGUAGUUCCUGGCCUGCUCUGUUCCUAGGGGUUGCACGGGCAGACUGAGGUCACCCCCUUCUCAGAGUUACAUUGCUCUGUGCCAUGCAGCUGCUCAGAACCCACACUCCCAUCCAUCCCAAGCUUCCCCACGACAGAGGAGGAAGCACUGUCAACAAUGAGGCCAGUGACGUCUGUUGUCACCCCGACAUAGCCAACACCGUGGCCACCCUCGACAGUCAUGAAAAAACGACCAGUGCCAACAGUCCACCAGGGGACCGCAGGAGGUCGCCGGACAAGCUUUCUCAGCAUUUCCCAAAACUUCACCAAAUGACAGGGAGGCAGCCCAGUACGGAAAUCCCUGGUAGCGGAGACCAAGGAGGAGAGGACAGCACCCCGACGUGUUUCCCAUCGCUCACCCUCAGUGCACUGUGCUAGACGGAAUAUACAUACACCUCCAGCUAAAAGACCAACCCAAGACACAAGGCCUCUGGAAAAUUCCACUGUAGGAUCCAUGAAAGAAUGACCAAGUCUUAGAAUUAUUACGGGAAAAAGCAUCUUUACAGGUCCCAUGCCAGGGAGGGUGUCACGGAGAGCCAAGGGGACUGGGCCACAAUUUGAAAGAUUCAUUCAUACAGUGACUUCGUGUGCAGGGGCUGCUUGAGAGCAGGUGACGCACCCCUUGGCUCUGAGCCCCCGGGGCCUGAGGUGGUGAGCUGCUUUAACGUCUCCCUCUCUGAACCCAACUAAACCUGGAACCCUGGAACCCUACCGAACCCAGUGUGGACUGCCUGUUGCUGGAUGACUGCACCUGCUGCUGGCACCGACUGCAGAGCUGCCCGGGCCCACAGGGUGCCACACAGUUGGCCCAAGUGCAGAGGACCUGUGUGCCUAGGCCAUGCCCUUGGCAACUGCAAAGCCAACCUCAGCUAAAGGCAGCUGGGAGCGAGCACGACGGCCCAUGUGGGCAGCACUUCUCCCUGGUGCCCCUCAGGAUUUGGGAUCUAGCAUCUUCUGGUAGCUUCCCACGGGGCCCUGUAACAAGCCUCCGGGGAGCGACCUUGAGCCGCACUGUUCCUAGGCCUACAGGAACAACCUCAGGCAGCAGCAGGAAGGGCUGCUCCAGUGCAGGAAGCUAUGUCCUUUCUGAAGCCCUCAGCUCUUCAUGGAGCCCUGAGUCAGGAUAGGAGCCUCAGAGUCCACUUGAAAUAUCAUGGGAAAACAGCCCCCAAGCUACAUCUGUGCUCCGCCUCCAUCCAUCGCGGCCUUCAAGUAAUACCCACCACCUGCCAGUUUCUCAUUUUCUCUCUUGCAACAACUUAAAAUUUAAAAGAAAAAAAAAACUUAAUCACAAUUCAGGAAAACACACCCACGCAUCUUGCUCACUAAGCGUGAAGCCAUCCCCUCGCUCAGCUCGGUCUCGGCUCCACUACUGAGAGUGGAGGAGACGGAAAUGUCAUUUUACACCAAAAUGCUGCCUCCUCCUCAACCUGGGGGCCCCACCUGCCUGUGUGUUUGCAAGGCUAAUUCCAGUCUCACUAUUUGAAUACGCUGGCAAGCUGAGAAAACAAGCCAAUAGUUCAGAGGAUCCAAGGCAAACUCCAUCUGACAGCCCCAGCCCUGAUGGCUGCCAAGACUGAUUGACUGGCUGGUUAUAUUUAGAGGUGGGGGGGGGGAUCAAACAGUGUUGGGCCUCCAAACUCAAGAACGCUGUGUUGAGAACAACAGACUAGCAAAUAACCAGCCGACGGCCAUGCGGCUGCAUCAUCUGGCAUCUGCGAGGCACGGCUGGCUUCCAUAAACCACGGGGAAUUUCAGAAGCCACCCACACCACUGCAGAAAAGAAACAACAAACAACAGGCAAUUAAGGCCGGUUCUGCCCCGGCAUCCUCACAAUUAUUAUUUGGCAAUAAAUAAACAGACAAAUAAGAUCCGGUCCUUGCUCCCCAUCACCUCUGUGUUCCUGUUCUAAGACAGCUCGACGUGGAGCAAAGAUCACGCCGAGGUUCCGUGGCCAAGUCGUGAACCCUGGGAGGCUGCCUGUACAAAGAAAAGCUUCUGCUUUAAACUUGACCCUACCUCCGUAGGUUGGCACACUCCCGUAACCCCAACCAUCCAGAGAGUAAGCCCAGAGGAUCACGAGUUCAAAGCCAGCCUCAAACAAGUGAGAGACAUUGUCUCAGAAUAAUAUUUUUUUUUUUUUAUUAAUUCAGGCAGGAUUGGUAAAGCCUUACAAGCAUAGGAGUUCAGCCCUCAGAAACUGCUUUUUAUAAUUGUUGCUUUUUAGCUUUUUGUUUGUUUACUUAUUUUAAUAAAGCUAAGACUGAUAGCUCAUGAUUAUAAUCCCACAACGGGUUCCCUGGGACUUAAACAUUUUGGCUAGUUCCAAACGAGUAAGUGACUCUGCUUCAAUAAAAAGGUGGACUGUAUCUAGGCAAACACCGUCUGGCUUCUACGCACAUACGAACACACUCGUACCCAACAACAUAUAAGCACACACACGCCCAUAAAAAACUAAAUACGUCCUCUACUGUUAACUACUACAUGUGUAGAAAAAAAAAGAGCUAAGUUGCACUUCCCCUCUCCUCUAAAAGAUGGGAACACCAGCUUAGCCUAAUUGGAGAGCAGGGCUAUUAUUUACAGACCCCAAUACCGUUACCUACGACAUCCCAACAGGUGCUGCCACAUACAUGAUGUCAUUAAAGGGUGGUGCGGUUUGGAGGAGUCCAGGCCAUGGGGACAGACAGGCUCCGGCACAGAAAUGGGAACCAUCAGAACUACAGACCUGGACAAACUGCUUUGGCGAACCAGAGUUUCCCCGGCUGCAAGGCCAGUCGGGAUAACUUAACAUCCACCAAAGAGAGGGCUUCUCCACUCUUUCAGCAUUUACGGAGACUCUUACGACUCGCCAGACACAUGUUACGGAGGACGCUCAGACAUGGCUGGUAGGUGGCUCAGAAGUAGAGUCCUGGCCUUGCAUGUGCAGAAGUCUGGGUUUUAUCUUCAGCAGCAGGGAAGAAAAAGAUGCUAACAGAGAUACAGGUAUAAGGCAAAGAGACAAGAUGGGCUGGGUAAAGCUCCCAACAACGCCAGCCACGCAGGGAGUGUCCACACAAGGGACUAAUCUGCAGGGUUGACACUGUCUGUCUAAAGCAGGAGUUCACAAUGCGUGGGUCGGUAUAUAAAUAACCCUUUCACUUAACACCACUGGAAAACCCAAGAUAUUUACGCUACAACUCGAAACAGUAGCAAAACUACAGUUACGAAUUAGCAACGAAAAGAAUUUUGUGCCUGGGAGGGUCUCUACAACAUGAGGAGCUGUAUUAAAAGGUUGCAGCACUAGGGAGGUUGAGAACCACUGACUGCUCCAGAGUCUCUGUGCCAAGAAGUACCACCAACGCACCUCUCUGUGACAUAUGUGCUGCUGGUCCCCAUAUUCCCUGUGGGCUCCGUGUGACUUCCGCUCCCCCUCUCCAAGUUCCCCUGAGCACCCCAAAGAGCACAUACGGGUCCGUGUACGCUGGGUGAGAUGAAUGAAUGGAAACGCUACAGCUCUGUGUGCCCCAGGGCCUCCGCAGCACCCCCCAGGGACAAACACAGAGUUCAGAGAGUGCACCCCGGGCAUUCGUCACUUUCCCCAUCUGCUGACCUUCAAGGGAGCGUUUGUGUGUGUCACUGCGUCUCGGCCCAGGAUUUGUGUCUCUGAACAGAACUGGCUCUUUGCAAACAGUGAAAUGUUUUCUCUGAAAUGAAAGCCCGUUCUCUGGAUAUCACUGCUAACAGACAGGAAGUGCUGCGAGGUCUGAAAAACAGACGGCUCUGGGUUGCAUUUUUUUUCCUUUAAUUCUGUUUUGUUUUAAUAAAUUGAGGCUUUUGUUUUGUACAAAAAAAAAAAAAAAAAAAAAAAGAAUCUAGUGCCAUGGUGGAUAAAAGCCAGCAACGCUAAAAAGAGAACAGGGAGUGGGGGGAAAAAUGACAACAAAGGGAAAAAGAGAAGGAGGAGUUGUGGAAAAUAAAAGGGCCCAGGCAGAUCUGAGCAACAGAUCCAGGUUAACAGAGCAGAAAGAACAUGCAGGACCCAGGUGUCCCGACUGUUCUGUUUUUAGGACAAGUCUGCCACAAGUAGGGGUUCUGGGCUUGAAGGACGGGAGGGGGGGGAGGUCGGUCACUCACAUUCAAAUCCAAGGACAGAACAGAUGCUGCCCUUCUAGGGGGUGACAAGGGGAGCAGCAUGGUUUUUGUUGUUUGUUUUCCCCCUUGUAGGCCUGAAAGAUAAAGAAUGGGGAAAGGGGCUUCACAGAAUCGUUGGUCAGCACAUGGGUGGGAAACUGGGCUUAAAUGCAAACCCAUUAGAGAAGCAGAACUUUAAUUUAUCAAUUAGACACCAUCUGUGGAUUGUGCUCCUUGGAAUAACUGUUGAAUUUGACAAUGCACUGCGGCUUUACAAAGUUUCUGCCAUCCUUGAUGCUGUUUAAUUAAAUUUCUGCACUUAACUUUGAUUGCACUGCAAGCCUGAUGCCUUCCCCAGAUUGAGUUCCUCGGCCACCUGCUGUGUUGUAGCCAAGCGUGUUUCCAGAGCAGGGUAAAAUAUGUAUUUUCUUUGGUUUUUUUUUAAGCCUCGUCUUUUCUCAGCCUCCACCCUAGGGACUCAGGGCCCCUGCUGCAUGAAUGGACACUGUCUCCCAACUCAGCCCAGCCUUAGGCCUGUACCACCCACAUGAGAUCUUUCUGUUCUUUUAUCCUGUCUCACUGAGUUAACAAAACACAGUCCUAGAUGGUUACCAAAUGCAAGGAGAGGCGACUUAAAAUAGAAUCAAAUAAAUGAUCAUUUAAAGCAACAGAGAAGGCAAGCCUCAAGUGGCAGCUGCUUCUGACCCUGAAAAGACAAACAGGUCAGCACAAGGCGGAGGAGGCUCCAGGACUCACCCAGGGUGAGCAGCUUUAGGAAGGCAAGGUUCCCACAAGGUACACAGGAUUCUCCAUUAGCCUUUGCUCGUUAUGUUUUUAGUGACAAAAAAAAAAAAAAAAAAAAGUAAGAGCAGACCACUAUCUUACUUCCUGUCUCCAGAGACCCAAGUUUCCUUUAUCAAUCAGACAGGGAAGGAAUCCUACAGUGUUCGUUCCUGUGACUUAUGCACUUAGCACAGUCUUCAGGAUUUUUUUUUGGACAGUUGGCUAACAUUCUAUUCUACGUGUUUGGUUUACCCAGUCAUUAGCUGAUGGAUGUUACCUGGUUUCUAUCUUUGACCGCUACAAGCAAUGCUGCAAUGAUCGCUGAUGUUCAGAUACCUAUCCAAGCUCCUGCCUUCCAAAUAUGGCGUGGCUGUGUGCAUUACAUGUAAUACAUACAUGUAUUUGUACACGCACAUUGCAUACAUAACCAGAGGUACUAUUGCUGGAUCAUAUAAUAUUUCUAUGUCUAAUUAUUGGAAAACUACCAUGGCUGUACCAUUUAUAUUCUCAGCAACAUACAGAUGCAUUUCAACAGCUUUAUUCUUUUUUUCUAAAAUGUUUUAAUAUUUAUUUAUGAGGAUUUUGCUUAUAUAUAUGUAUGUGUACCACAUGUCUGCCUGGUGCCUAUGGAGGUCAGAAGAAAGUAUACAAUUAGGAUUCUCCGAAACACUGGGUGUGAUGGCACAUUCCUGUAAUCCCAUCACUCAGGGAGGUAGAGGCAGGCAGAUCUCUGAAAUCGAGGCCAGCCUGCUCUACAAAUUGAGUCCAGAACAGCCAAGGCUACACAAAGAAACCCUGUCUCAUAAAACCAAAUAAAAAAAUUAAAAAGACUCUCUGAAA